rnacentral:rRNA from 1 species
UACGAAGGGUGCAAGCGUUGUCCGGAAUCAUUGGGCGUAAAGAGCUCGUAGGUGGUCUGUUACGUCUGCUGUGAAAACCUAGGGCUUAACCCUGGGCCUGCAGUGGAUACGGGCAGACUAGAGGUAGGUAGGGGAGAAUGGAAUUCCCGGUGUAGCGGUGAAAUGCGCAGAUAUCGGGAGGAACACCGGUGGCGAAGGCGGGUCUCUGGGCAGUAACUGACGCUGAGGAGCGAAAGCGUGGGGAGCGAACAGG